UUUCGAUAAGUAAAUAUAAUUGCGGUUUCCCAAGAUCUAGAAUGUCAUGUAAACUUGCAGCAUUCACUUGAAAUUUCUGAAGAACUGUAAAAAUAUGUCUAACAGUAAUUGGGUUAGCUUGGACAGAUAGAACUCACCAACGGACUCGGUGGUCGUCAGGGAGGGCGACUUUCCAGCCACUUGUUGUGAUGCGGUGAAGACAAGCUAUGUCAGAAGGCUAAAGUUGAAGCUGUUUGCUGUUCCCAUCCAAUGCACAACAUUUUUUUUGCUGCUUGCUAACUGCACAAGUUUUCUGUUGUCUGAUAUUUUAGCUAUGCCUUAAUUUGCCUAUGGUGUGGCACUUCAAUGUGCUGAUGCUGCCUCCUGCCUGUUACCUGGUUUAAAGAGUACUUGGAACAAAACUAGAGUCUUCUGUUUUAUGAAAUCAAGUUAAGCCAUCAGCAUGUGGUCACAUUUAACCAGUAAUCGAGGAAUGUGCCAUCGUUCUUCUCCACAAACCUUUAAUACUUUAAUAUCAUUGUUUUUCAGUAAGCUCAAAGUUUGGAUUCUUAUAUUUACUUGUGUAAUUAAUGCUUGCUAAACUUCUAAAACUGAUUUAAUUCAUUUUGGUGAUAAACUGUUCUUGAUUCAGUAAAAUUUUAAUUUUACAUUAGUUUUACACAAUCUUGAUGAGAGUAUAAUCAUUUUCUUUUACAGGAUAUCUCAGACAGGUUACAUCAAAGCUGUUUGCUGUUUCUGUCCAAUGCUGAACUUUUUGAAUUGCUAAGUGAUUAAGUUUUCCAACUGUUGGUUGGUGUUUGAGGUAUGCCUAAAAUUGCCUACGGUUGUUGCAGUCCAAUGUGCUGAAUGCUGAUGUUUUCUGCCUGGUUUAAGGAGUACUUGAACAAAACAGUAUUCACAUUGCUGGUCAUUUUCCAUUUUUGUUUAUUUUUAUCAAGAAGUGUGUUCUGUCAUUAUGCAAUUGUAUGAGAAAAAUUUUGAUAUUUUACAUUUUCUAGCAAGAGCCAAGUGCCACUUCGUUGUUGAUUUUGAUAAGUUGAUUAAAGAGCUUACUGUAUGAAACAGAAUUUGAAUGGAAAUCAAGUUGGUAAAUAUUA